rnacentral:rRNA from 1 species
GAUGAACGCUAGCUACAGGCUUAACACAUGCAAGUCGAGGGGAAACGCUGAGAGAGCUUGCUCUCUUAGGCGUCGACCGGCGCACGGGUGAGUAACGCGUAUCCAACCUACCCAUUACAGGGGGAUAACCUUGCGAAAGUAAGACUAAUACCCCAUGGCAUUUUAUGGUGGCAUCAUUAUAGGAUUAACGAUUUAUUGGUAAUGGAUGGGGAUGCGUCUGAUUAGCUUGUUGGCGGGGUAACGGCCCACCAAGGCAACGAUCAGUAGGGGUUCUGAGAGGAAGGUCCCCCACAUUGGAACUGAGACACGGUCCAAACUCCUACGGGAGGCAGCAGUGAGGAAUAUUAGUCAAUGGGCGAGAGCUUGAACCAGCCAAGUAGCGUGCAGGAUGACGGCCCUAUGGGUUGUAAACUGCUUUUAUAGGGGAAUAAAGUGAGCUACGUGUAGUUUAUUGCAUGUACCCUAUGAAUAAGGACCGGCUAAUUCCGUG